UGCUUGCCCAGAUUGAUCUCUUUGGGGAUUUAUCAGCUCACCCAUGCUGAGAGCAGAGGCAAAAAGGAAGUCCACCCUUUUCUGUUCGAUGCUCACUCCCAUUUUCAUUUGUAGUGACAACUUCUGAGUGUAAAUUGGAUUCAUUUUUUUCCUGGAUGUUCGUUUGUGGAGGAUUGUUUGGCUUCCCUCUCUUAAAGGAAAAAAAAAAAAGAAAUCGCAGAAAGCUUGGCCUUCGUCUGCCCCACGGCCCUGGUCCCCUGAUUUCAGGCUCCUGGUCUCGGUUUUUCGUCACGUCACCCGCAUGACAGUUUCAUCUGGUGCUAAUGUGGCCGUCACAUGAGUUAGUCGUCAGAAUUCCAUGCUCGUUUACCAUUAAUCAAAUGCAUCAUUAUGAAUUGUGUAUGCAUUUUAGGGCAGACCCAAACCCCGGCUUGAUAGGAAAGUGUUUUUGUUUUUUUUCCACUUAACGUUCGGCAACGGCAGAUGAGUGGCAAGGCCAAAGUGACAUUCUCUGUGUUUGCUUAGCCCAGAAAUCAACAACCCUAAAUUACAGGUUGAUAAGCUAUGUCCAGGUAGCAUUAGCUUCUCCAGGUGAUUAUUAUUAGUUAAGGGUGGCCACAGUCAGCGCCAGCAAACUGAAGCUGGCCAGAGCGAGGGCAGACAAGGCGAGCAGAGAGCAGGGUCUCGGCUUCCAAGGGGCCCGGUGCCUCCUUUUGACUGGGGGGAUUUUAGUCUUAGAUUGCAUUUUCCUGGAAAUUGGGACUGGCCCUUCUAAUUUGGAAGAAUGUGAGGUAUUUGCAGGGCGAGUUCGGAUGAGUGGGGGUGGGGACGGGUUACCACUGGAUGCUUUUGGGAAUUUGUGGACUCUACUUCCCCAGGACUCACUUGCCAACUUGGCCUCUGUGGGAACAUUCCAAGUUCUGGAACCUUCCUUGGAGGGCCUGACUCCUGUUGGUUGGUGGGGACCUGGCAUCUCCUGGGCGUGUAAAGACGGUUUUCAUUCGGAGUUUGCAGUGAUCAAAGUCUUUCCUGAGGACAGGGGACUGUGUUUCAGGUCUGGAAACUGAUCUGCUCCCUGCUGAGGACAAGAGUCUCUGUGAGUCCAUUUCCUCCGGUUGUGAAAAGGAUGAUACCCCAGGAUCGCUUGGCAGAGAAGCUCUUCUAGCCUCUGUGGUGAGUCUUGCACUCUGAACAGAUUGUGCCAGGCUC
ensembl:lincRNA